rnacentral:rRNA from 1 species
GACGAACGCUGGCGGCGUGCUUAACACAUGCAAGUCGAACGCGCCUGUCCUCUGGGUUUCUGGGGGGUGGGUGAGUGGCGAACGGGUGAGUAACACGUGAGUAACCUGCCCCCUUCUUCGGGAUAACGGUCUGAAAGGGCUGCUAAUACCGGGUAUUCACUGGUCUCCGCAUGGGGUCUGGUGGAAAGGUUUUUUCUGGUGGGGGAUGGGCUCGCGGCCUAUCAGCUUGUUGGUGGGGUGAUGGCCCACCAAGGCUUUGACGGGUAGCCGGCCUGAGAGGGUGACCGGUCACAUUGGGACUGAGAUACGGCCCAGACUCCUACGGGAGGCAGCAGUGGGGAAAAUUGCACAAUGGGCGCAAGCAUGAUGCAGCGACGCAGCGUGAGGGAUGGAGGCCUUCGGGUUGUGAACCUCUUUCGCCCGUGGUCAAGCCGCGACGUGGGUCGUGGUGAGGGUAGUGGGUAAAGAAGCGCCGGCUAACUACGUG